UACGAAGGGGGCUAGCGUUGCUCGGAUUGACUGGGCGUAAAGGGCGCGUAGGCGGUUCGUACAGUCAGACGUGAAAUUCCUGGGCUCAACCUGGGGGCUGCGUUUGAUACGUGCGGACUUGAGUGCGGAAGAGGGUCGUGGAAUUCCCAAUGUGUAGAGGUGAAAUUCGUAGAUAUUGGGAAGAACACCGGUGGCGAAGGCGGCGACCUGGUCCGAUACUGACGCUGAGGCGCGAAAGCGUGGGGAGCAAACAGG
rnacentral:rRNA from 1 species